rnacentral:rRNA from 1 species
GACGAACGCUGGCGGCGUGCUUAACACAUGCAAGUCGAACGAAGAGCGAUGGAAGCUUGCUUCUAUCACUCUUAGUGGCGAACGGGUGAGUAACGCGUAAUCAACCUGCCCUUCAGAGGGGGACAACAGUUGGAAACGACUGCUAAUACCGCAUACGAUCUAAUCUCGGCAUCGAGGAUAGAUGAAAGGUGGCCUCUACAUGUAAGCUAUCACUGAAGGAGGGGAUUGCGUCUGAUUAGCUAGUUGGAGGGGUAACGGCCCACCAAGGCGACGAUCAGUAGCCGGUCUGAGAGGAUGAACGGCCACAUUGGGACUGAGACACGGCCCAGACUCCUACGGGAGGCAGCAGUGGGGAAUCUUCCGCAAUGGACGAAAGUCUGACGGAGCAACGCCGCGUGAGUGAUGACGGCCUUCGGGUUGUAAAGCUCUGUUAAUCGGGACGAAAGGCCUUCUUGCGAAUAGUGAGAAGGAUUGACGGUACCGGAAUAGAAAGCCACGGCUAACUACGUG